AACGAACGCUGGCGGCAGGCCUAACACAUGCAAGUCGAGCGAAGCCUUCGGGCUUAGCGGCGGACGGGUGAGUAACGCGUGGGAACGUGCCCUUUGGUACGGAAUAGCCCCGGGAAACUGGGAGUAAUACCGUAUGUGGUCGAGAGACGAAAGAUUUAUCGCCAAAGGAUCGGCCCGCGUUGGAUUAGGUAGUUGGUGGGGUAAUGGCCUACCAAGCCGACGAUCCAUAGCUGGUUUGAGAGGAUGAUCAGCCACACUGGGACUGAGACACGGCCCAGACUCCUACGGGAGGCAGCAGGUGGGAAUCUUAGACAAUGGGGGAAACCCUGAUCUAGCCAUGCCGCGUGAUCGAUGAAGGCCUUAGGGUUGUAAAGAUCUUUCAGUGGGGAAGAUAAUGACUGUACCCACAGAAGAAGCCCCGGCUAACUCCGUGCCAGCCGCCGCAGUAACAC
rnacentral:rRNA from 1 species